GUGGGCAAUCUGCCCUGCACUCUGGGACAAGCCCUGGAAACGGGGUCUAAUACCGGAUACGACUCGGGAGGGCAUCCUUCCGGGUGGAAAGCUCCGGCGGUGCAGGAUGAGCCCGCGGCCUAUCAGCUUGUUGGUGGGGUGAUGGCCUACCAAGGCGACGACGGGUAGCCGGCCUGAGAGGGCGACCGGCCACACUGGGACUGAGACACGGCCCAGACUCCUACGGGAGGCAGCAGUGGGGAAUAUUGCACAAUGGGCGAAAGCCUGAUGCAGCGACGCCGCGUGAGGGAUGACGGCCUUCGGGUUGUAAACCUCUUUCAGCAGGGAAGAAGCGAAAGUGACGGUACCUGCAGAAGAAGCGCCGGCUAACUACGUGCCAGCAGCCGCGGUAAUACGUAGGGCGCAAGCGUUGUCCGGAAUUAUUGGGCGUAAAGAGCUCGUAGGCGGCUUGUCGCGUCGGAUGUGAAAGCUCGGGGCUUAACCCCGGGUCUGCAUUCGAUACGGGCAGGCUAGAGUGUGGUAGGGGAGAUCGGAAUUCCUGGUGUAGCGGUGAAAUGCGCAGAUAUCAGAGGAACACCGGUGGCGAAGGCGGAUCUCUGGGCCAUUACUGACGCUGAGG
rnacentral:rRNA from 1 species